UAAGAGUUAUUACUUUCUCCGGUCUCCGGCAUACUGCACUUCUGUCUAAAUCAUUUAUUAACACACAGUGUGUGAGAUUAGGUGUGAGGUAGAGACAGAUCAAUAGUAAAUCUGAAAAGAGAGAGGCAGUAAAUUAAUGAUGAAGUCGUCUUUCGGAAAGCUCAAGAAAUUUGCACUACACAAGGAUAAGAAGGAUCAUCAGAUAUUGUUGCAUUUGGACGGACUUUCUCAGGCAUCACAGGAUAUGAAAGACAUGAGAGAUUGUUAUGACAGCUUGCUAUCUGCAGCAGCAGCUGCGGCUAAUAGUGCCUAUGAAUUUUCAGAAUCCUUGAUGGAAAUGGGAACCUGCUUACUGGAGAAAAUUGCAUUGAAUGGUGAUGGAGAAAAUCGCAAGGCAAUGUCGAUGCUUGGAGGAGUACAAUUAGAACUUCAGAAAUUCGUAGACUGCUAUCGUUCCCAUAUCAUCCUAACUAUCACAAACCCAUCUGAGUCUCUUCUUAGUGAACUUCGGAAAGUGGAGGAGAUGAAACUGCAGUGUGAUGAAAAAAGGGAGGUGUACGAGUAUAUGGCAAAUAGAGGAAAAGGUGGAAAAGGUGAGAACUUUACUUCUCAGCAGUUACAGGCAGCCCGGGAGGACUAUGAGGAAAUGGCAAGACUUUGCAUUUUCCGUGUACAAUCUCUGAAGCAAGGGCAAUGUCGGAGCCUUUUGACCCAGGCAGCUCGUCACCAUGGAGCACAGCUUAAUUUCUUCCGCAAAGGACUUAAAUCUCUUGAAUCUGUUGAACCACAAAUAAGGAUGGUUGCUGAAAACCAACACAUUGACUAUCAACCUGUUGAAUUGGAUGAUAGCGAGGAUGGAGGCAAGAGCUAUGAGGCCAAUGAUGAUGGUGAAUUGAGUUUUGAUUAUAGAAAAAAUAAGCAGGAACCAAAUGACUCUUUCCCAAUGAGGGAUUCAAUGGAGUUUGAUCCCGCUGAUGCUCCAAGUACCCUAACCUCUGGGAUGGAGGAAGUGGAGUUGGAUUUGGGCAGAAACCAGGAGCAGGUUUUUACUAGACAACCACGUGUAGUCAGUCAUUCUGCUCCAAUAUUUGCAGAGAAAUCAGAUAUUUCUGAUAGGAUCAAACAAGCACAGACAUCUGCCCGGAAAUUUCACACAUACGCCUUACCGACUCCAGCCGAUGCUAAAAGUUUGACUUCAAGGACAAGUGUUUCCCUUCAACACUCAAGUACCAUGAAUACGAGUGGAGGCAGCAACAAUCCGUGGCAUUCUUCCCCGCUUAAUAUGGAUAAAUACUCUAAAUUUUCAGAUGACAACUUGUCAACAGACACUCUUGCAAAAGGCCAAUCCACUGCUCAAGAGAUUAAAGAUCAUACUUUCUCCACCCCACUACCCCCGCCUCUUGCUGAGGGAACUUCUCUCCCACAAAAUGAUAUACAAAAUGGAAUUGAUGCCAGAAAGAUGAGAAGACUUGCUUUCUCAGGUCCAUUAGCAAGUAAGCCUUCAUCCAGCAAGCCACUGUUAUCUGCCAGUGGACCUAUUGGCUUGGCCGAACGGCCUCUUUUAGAACCUGGAUUGGCUUCUGGUAUACCAAUAAGUCAGCCACCAUCGACUCUAGAUGUAUCCUACA
rnacentral:misc_RNA from 1 species